rnacentral:rRNA from 1 species
GACGAACGCUGGCGGCGUGCUUAACACAUGCAAGUCGAACGGUGAAGCGAGUGCUUGCACUCGUGGAUCAGUGGCGAACGGGUGAGUAACACGUGAGUAACCUGCCCAUCACUCUGGGAUAAGCACUGGAAACGGUGUCUAAUACUGGAUACGACCAACCCUUGCAUGGGGUGUUGGUGGAAAGAUUUAUCGGUGAUGGAUGGACUCGCGGCCUAUCAGCUUGUUGGCGGGGUAAUGGCCCACCAAGGCGACGACGGGUAGCCGGCCUGAGAGGGUGACCGGCGACACUGGUACUGAGACACGGCCCAGACUCCUAUGUGAGGCAGCAGUGGGGAGUAUUGCACAAUGGUCGAAAGCCUGAUGCAGCGACGCCGCGUGAGUGAUGACGUCCUUCGGGGUGUAAACCUCUGUCAGCAAGGAAGAAGCGAAAGUGACGUUACCUGCAGAAGAAGCACCGGCUAACUACGUG